rnacentral:rRNA from 1 species
AGCGAACGCUGGCGGCAGGCUUAACACAUGCAAGUCGAACGGGCAUCUUCGGAUGUCAGUGGCAGACGGGUGAGUAACACGUGGGAACGUACCCUUCGGUUCGGAAUAACUCAGGGAAACUUGAGCUAAUACCGGAUACGCCCUUUUGGGGAAAGGUUUACUGCCGAAGGAUCGGCCCGCGUCUGAUUAGCUUGUUGGUGGGGUAACGGCCUACCAAGGCGACGAUCAGUAGCUGGUCUGAGAGGAUGAUCAGCCACACUGGGACUGAGACACGGCCCAGACUCCUACGGGAGGCAGCAGUGGGGAAUAUUGGACAAUGGGCGCAAGCCUGAUCCAGCCAUGCCGCGUGAGUGAUGAAGGCCUUAGGGUUGUAAAGCUCUUUUGUCCGGGACGAUAAUGACGGUACCGGAAGAAUAAGCCCCUGCUAACUUCGUG